CUAGUUGGUGUGGUAACGGCAUACCAAGGCAACGAUGGGUAGGGGUCCUGAGAGGGAGAUCCCCCACACUGGUACUGAGACACGGACCAGACUCCUACGGGAGGCAGCAGUGAGGAAUAUUGGUCAAUGGGCGCAAGCCUGAACCAGCCAUGCCGCGUGCAGGAUGACGGUCCUAUGGAUUGUAAACUGCUUUUGUACAGGAAGAAACACUCCCUCGUGAGGGAGCUUGACGGUACUGUAAGAAUAAGGAUCGGCUAACUCCGUGCCAGCAGCCGCGGUAAUACGGAGGAUCCAAGCGUUAUCCGGAAUCAUUGGGUUUAAAGGGUCCGUAGGCGGGUUUAUAAGUCAGUGGUGAAAGCCCAUCGCUCAACGAUGGAACGGCCAUUGAUACUGUAGAUCUUGAAUUAUUAGGAAGUAACUAGAAUAUGUAGUGUAGCGGUGAAAUGCUUAGAGAUUACAUGGAAUACCGAUUGCGAAGGCAGGUUACUACUAAUGGAUUGACGCUGAUGGACGAAAGCGUGGGUAGCGAACAGGAUUAGAUACCCUGGUAGUCCACGCCGUAAACGAUGGAUACUAGCUGUUCGGAGCAAUCUGAGUGGCUAAGCGAAAGUGAUAAGUAUCCCACCUGGGGAGUACGUUCGCAAGAAUGAAACUCAAAGGAAUUGACG
rnacentral:rRNA from 1 species